CACUUCGAAAAAUUUCCCCCUAUUGUGAACUUUUUUUUCGGGUGGAACUUCAAGUCUUUGACAACUCUUUUUUUCACUCAAAAUUUGGCGGCGGAAAAGGACAACUUUGGCGAAAAAUGAGUAAAACAACAAAUAGAAGGCAAUGCGAGUUGAAUAUCUUAUACGUACGAGUAAAACAUUCAAACUGAAUUUGCCUUUCCUGUUAUAAAAAAGGUGUUUGUUGUGUGAUGGCGAUAUAAUGUUGACAUGUGUUCCAUCUACACAUCCUAUUAUGCUUGGCAUAUUGAAUUUCAUGAAGAAAUCUUGGCUGAUUCUUCUACAUUCGUUUUGUGUUGGCCACUUUAUCCAUUCUGGACAAAGCCUCUCCUCCAAUACGUUCAACACUUCAGCCAUAAUAAGGUUUACAGAUGGUUGUGCCAACCCAACUUCAUGGUCCUUCCCAACUCCCUUUUGGUACCCGCCCUCCGCAAGGAAACGUAAGGUGGCUGCAAGUUUUAUAAUUGGGGGCACACCAAAUUUUUGUUUUACUGGGGGCAAGGAACUGGAAAGAACAUCCAACAAAUAUUUGAAGGCUUCUUUAUUUACUCGAUAGUGUUGAUGAAAUCUGAAAAAAAAGUUUGAUUCGUAAUCUACAUUUAUAUUCACAAAUUCUUUACAUGAAACUUAUUACUUACAAUGGCUCACGCAACUCCAAAGGGUUUGAAGAAUCUCUGAGUUGUCUUCUGAUUGAUUUUUGUUUUUGUUUUUCUUCCUCAUCAUUAAUCAUUUCCCUCAGGGCUAUGCUAUACAUGUUGCUAAAGUAAAAUAUAAAAACAAUUCUAAACAAUUUGUGUAAUAAAAUAUCAUACUGUUCAA